ensembl:lncRNA
CGGAAGAAAUGUAAUAGGACAGAGGGCAAUUACCAAUGUCCCUGGACAGCGUGGGGGUAAUAUAACUAUGUGUGCUGCCAUCACUCAAAACGGGGUCCUCCAUCACAAUGCCACACUGGGUCCGUACAACACCGGCCAUAUGCUCACUUUUCUGGAUGCAAUUUACACAAUGCUUGUCCCUGAUCCAGAUCAGGAGCCUGAUAGAUUUGUGGUUUUAUGGGACAAUGUUAGUUUUCACCGGGCUGUUCUGGUCCAAAACUGGUUUGCCAACCAUCCACAAUUUGUAGUUUUGUACCUACCCCCAUAUUCACCUUUUCUAAAUCCCAUAGAGGAAUUCUUCUCAGCCUGGCGCUGGAAAGUGUGUGAUCGCCAAACUUAUGCCCGCAUGCUGCUUCUCCAGGCAAUGGAGGACGCAUGUGGGGACAUAGAGGUUGCCUCUGUCCAAGGUUGGAUACGCCAUGCUAGGAGAUACUUCCCUCGAUGUUUGGCAAGAGAAAACGUAUCUUGUGAUGUGGACGAAGUAUUGUGGCCAGACCCAGGCUGGAGAAGAGAUGAAGCGUAGCUUAGCACUGGUGACUGCCCCCCCCCACCAAUUCCUGGACUGACCCCCCGGGACCCCACACACACAAUUGUGUUCUUUACUCUAUUCUAAAGAAUAUACUUUUGGUUUACAUAUGUUUAUGGUUUUGUUGUAUGCUACUGUAUAGAACA